rnacentral:lncRNA from 1 species
UGGGGCUCAAGGGCUACGCCAGGGAGGUGCUGGGCCUGACCAUGGAGAAGCCGCGGCACGUGACCAUGAUCAACUGGGAGAGGCGCCAGCUUGACGUCGCGCAGGUCCAGUACGCCUGCAUUGACGCCUACGUCUCCUACAAGCUGGGCGAGCGUCUCCUGGACAACUGACGUACGGCUAGAUACUAUUGCAGCUUGUCACUCGGAGCUAGUGCUAUUCAUUAUGUGGUGUUUAAUCGUAUUCGGUAACCUACCUUAAUCGUAUUCUGCAACUACUGUUUUGGACUUUGCCAGUGUGGUGCUGCAACUUUGAGUAAGCAUGUUCUACUGUGUUGGUCGUUUGCUUGUAUCCUUGACAGUUAAUGCAACGUGGCAGGGCGGAUCGAAAUGUUUAAUUGUAGUACUCCUGAGAUGCACUUUGCUUCUGAAUUUCUGUUUGUUCUUCACUUACCAAAAUGCAUCAAAAUGCAUAUCGUUUGGUAUUAGAAGAGAGGAUAUAAACUG